CAGAAAUAUUUUUUUGCUGAUGCAAAAAAUUCCCAAAGGGCCCAGAAGACUAGUGGCUAUCUCUCUUAGGUUUCCACGACCUAAGUGGUUGGUAAGUUUAGACUCAUGAUGGAGGCCUAUCGUUGUGUGUUCAAGCCUAUCGCGACGUUUCGGAUUCUGUGAUACUUCCUCAGGCGAGCUCUGAACACUAAAUGGCUGGAAUUCUCUACAGCAGCCAUGACUCGAGUCACCACAGAUUAUCAUCUGAUUAAUUACAAACCAUACCUGCAGUAAAGCAAGGAAAGCAAUAAUUUUACUUUUAAGCAACGCCAGGAGAGAAAGUGUGUCUUGACCAACGGAAUAGAGCAUGGCACCCCCUGCAGCUCACUGCAUCGCUCAGUGUCAUGAGACCAUCACUUUUGAGUCAAGUCACAAACUGAUAAUCUCUCCUUGAAUAAUAUAAAAUGUUCAUUCAUGUGGAAAAGAAAUGUUGUUUAUUUCCAUUGAAUAAAUUAUGA